GGGAAACUCUGCGCUGCCACAGUCCAUCCACCUCUAAGACAAGUUAGAGGCAAGACUGAGCACCUCAGACAUCUUAUUGCUAGUUGAAUCUCACCUCCAGGGAGACCACUGCAAUUCUACAGGAGCAACGGGCAGUUUGUCCAGCCUGGAGAAAGCCAGGGGAAAGCAUAGGACAUCCCUGCAGUCUGGGGGUCCUUCGGCUUCUGUGAUGCGCGGUGCAGAGGCAGGAGAGCGCUGCAAACCCGCAGCCCGGGGGGGUGGGGGGAGUGUGUGUGGGGGUGUGGGGGGCGGAGGGGGCUCCCCCCUCCCCGCCCCACACUAACACCUGGUCCCUUCUCCGCUCGGUCAGGGGCCUGGCUGCGCCACUGCUCAGCGCCCCGGCUUAGGCAAGAAUUGGAGCAACUGGGGGAACUGGCGAGGCCUGUCGAUACCCUCUGCCCACCUUUCUCCUCUGCACCAGUUCUCUCAUCUCCACAUUUUCCAACUAUCAACUGCUUCCUAGCUUUGAAAGAGUUUUCUCCCCUGUGGACGGGCCUGUGCCAGUGUUAAUAAAAGUUUUGCUACUUUUGUGCCUCUCUCUGCUGACACCAUCUCAAGAGAAAUAACACAGAGGAGAACUGUUUCUAAGAGGAAAAAGGAAAAGCCAAGGAGAAUUAAGGUAAACUUAAGACACUCAUCUUUUGGAGAUCUCUCAGCUCCCACAAUCAAGAUGAACUGCUCCCCCCUUAUGCCCUCUUUUCCCAAUCAUUGUUACAAUCUAUUGUGGACAGACCUGCUCCAUUUUUAUCUGCGUCUGUCUUCCAGAAAUCAUGUGGAUGAUAAGAAAAUGGUGGAAAGAGCAUGGUGACAAGUCCAAGGGCAGCCAGAAGGAUGACUUUGAAAGUUUGAGGGUAAGAAGAGUCAGUUUUUUAAGGGGUAUUUCAGAAAAGGAAGUAAAAAUAGGAAGAAUGGAAAAAGCUGGAGAGAUGCUGCUUUGCCAUUGUUAACAAAAUUCAGUUAGUUCUAGGGAAUCACAGGCCAGCAAUUUAUGUUGUAAAGGAAGGUUAUAUUUUCUUUCUAGGAGUAGAAAAUAAAACAAAUUAUGCACAUUUUCCAAAAAAUCUAAAAGGAAUCUGUAAGCCUAAUAAAAAGAUUCAGUUUUUUUUAACACAUUUAAUUACCAAAUUAUGACAGUGUGACAUAACAAACAAUAGUUCACAAUUUUUCUUUUUCUUUUUUUUUUUUUUUUAAUAGUUCACAAUUUUUCUUAAGCUUAGUAUGAGCUAGUCAUUAUUUAAGUGUAUUGUUUGGAUUACUCCCAUCUUCUACAUGAGGAAACUAAAAUUAAAAAAAAAAAAAAAACCUUCCAAAGUGUUCAAAUUUAUAUAAUUAGUAAAUGAUGGAACCAUGCGAACCCCCACAACCUACUAAAGACCCUACACUCUAAAGCUGGAUUAGCGAAUAGAGGGGAACUCCAAAAUAAAGAUUUGGGUCUAUAGGGAAUAUGGAAUUGUGCAACCUUAAUAUUCUAUCUAUGGCUCUACUAGAUUCUCCAAAAUUGACUUCUGGUUAAUUUCAUUGAUGCCAUCUUUAGGCAAGCCAAAUAAAACUGUAGAAAAAAAGAGAAAAGAUCACCAAGAAAGGGUAGUAGAGAUAGGUAGGAAGGUAGGAAACUAGCCAGCUGUGCUCCCAUGGCCAUGAUUGCAUUUGACCAAAAGAGAUUGACACAAAAAGGGUGCCUGGGUGGCUCAGUCAGUUAAGUGUCUGCCUUCAACUUAGGUCAUGAUCCCAGAGUCGUGGAAUCCAGCCCAGUAUCAAGCUCCCUGCUCAGUGGAGAAUCUGCUUCUCCCUCUAUUGUCUGCUCUGCUUAUGUUCUCUCUCUCUCUCAAAUAAAUAAAAUAUUAAAGAAAAAAAAGAGAGAGAGAGAGACAUUUACACACAAUGGAGCAAAGGAUGACUAAAGGUGUUUGCCAAAGACACACAGAGCAUUGCAAAGUUGCCAGAUAGUGAAAAUGUUCACUUUGACAAGGUGCCAUUUUUGAGGUAGAAAGAGAAUAGUUUGCUCUAGAAAAACCAAGCUGCCUCAGUCUCUCUAAAGAGGAGGAUAUAGGGAACUCCUUGGUGCCAUUCACAAGUCGCAGAGUA
rnacentral:lncRNA from 1 species